rnacentral:tRNA from 1 species
UGGGGUGUAGCCAAGUGGUAAGGCAGUGGUUUUUGGUACCACCAUUCGAGGGUUCGAAUCCUUCCACCCCAA